rnacentral:tRNA from 1 species
GAUGGUAUAGCUCAGUGGUAGAGCAUCUGCUUAGCAUGGAAGAGGCCCUGGGUUCAAUACCCAGUACCUCCA